UACAAAUGACUGUUUUAAAGAAUGGCACAAAGACACUGUGGUGAAAAAAAUCAACCAACACAACACAAAAUAAACAGGAACUGAGAAAGUUUCUAGGUUCUGCCAUCACAAGACAACGUGCAGCCGUUCAAAAAGUACACGACGCAAAAAGUCAACUAGCUUCCCAUGUUAAUGAAGUGUUUCAUUUUACAAAGAAGUAUGUGGCUUUUUAUGUUUCGUUUAGGAAGUGAAUCCUAAUAGCUGACAAAUAUCAAAGAAAGAUUGACCCAAACCAAAACGAAAACAGGCACAACGCUCUUCAAGAAUCCAAGACUGAAAACACCGACGUCAUAACUGGUUCAGUCUUCACCUCCCAGUGGGAGGGAAAGAGAGAAUGGAUCGUACCCUUGAAAUGCUUGGCGGGGAAAGAAAAUCAAGUCUAGGACGGCGGAGAUACUUUCAACGUUAAGAUUGCAGUCAUAAUUACAACAUGAAUAGUAACAUUUUAAGUUCGUUGUACCAGUAUGAACUCAUGUUAGUGUUCGACAUUCUAUGAUCCCAGUCCUGUUUAAGCAAUGUAAUUGAAGACUUUAGUUUGCAGAUCUACCUUUCAGGGACCAAGAACCUAGACAGGGAAAGAGCGGUACCUUUUGACAGAAAUUUAAUACCCCAUUUUGCUUCCUGUGAGAUCUGGUUAUUCUCUUCCUUUCACAUCUGUUCGUAGCUCUUGUAGUUUUCCCAGGCAUUAAAUAAGUAAACCCUCUUUCUUGGAA